AGCGAACGUUUGCGGCGGGCCUAACACAUGCAAGUCGGACGAGAAUCACUUCGGUGAGGACAGUGGCGCACGGGUGCGUAACACGUGGAUAACCAACCCCUUGGUUCGGGACAACACUGGGAAACCGGUGCUAAUACCGGAUGUGUCGUGGAGUUCAUCAGGACACCUCGAGAAAGGUCCGCAAGGAUUGCCAAGGGACGGGUCCGCGUCCCAUCAGCUAGAUGGUGAGGUAAUGGCUCACCAUGGCGAAGACGGGUAGCUGGUCUGAGAGGAUGAUCAGCCACACUGGAACUGAGACACGGUCCAG
rnacentral:rRNA from 1 species